GCACUCCCGGGGCGUCUCUAUCUCAUCGCGAGAGGAGGCGCACCUAGAGCGUACACGCUGAUACCCGAAAGAUGGUGAACUAUGCCUGGCCAGGACGAAGCCAGGGGAAACCCUGGUGGAGGUCCGUAGCGAUUCUGACGUGCAAAUCGAUCGUCGGAGCUGGGUUUAGGGGCGAAAGACCAAUCGAACCAUCUAGUAGCUGGUUCCCUCUGAAGUUUCCCUCAGGAUAGCUUGCGCUCGGAAACAACGAGUCUCAUCCGGUAGAGCGAAUGAUUAGAGGCCUUGGGGUCGAAACGACCUCAACCUAUUCUCAAACUCCAAAUAGAUGAGAACCCCGGCUUUCUUGAACUCUGUUUAUGAAGCCGGGGGCUCGGAUCAGAGUGCCAAGUGGGCCAAUUUUGGUAAGCAGAACUGGCGCUGUGGGAUGAACCAAACGCGGAGUUAAGGCGCCUCAAUCGACGCUCAUGUGAAACCAUGAAAGGCGUUGGUUGCUUAAGACAGCAG
rnacentral:rRNA from 1 species